rnacentral:lncRNA from 1 species
GGGCAUAUACCAAGGUACAGAUAGAACUAUUAUAGCCAGACAUGUAUUUUUUUGAAAGAAAGUGUUUUAUGGUUUGUUCCCUAGCCUAGCUCAAGCUCGCUAUAAAUAGAAAUUUAGUAAGCCCACAGGAAUCCAAAUGGAUGCCACACCCCACAUUUAAUUUAAUCAUUUUCAUUUCUUCAAAUUGAGGUUACGUACGUUGUAACUUGAUUACUUGAUUUUGAACGUGUUCCACUCAAGCCAGAGUCAAUACUACUGAUUAGGCAGUAGGCUACUGAGACUGAGUUUGCUGUUCUACCUGUUGAAUCGUUGAAUGCAAAUUUGAAUCUGUCCUGUAGCCGAAUUCAGUUGCUUGCAAAAUUACUGUACUGUACAUAACUUGACAAAGCAAGAAAUAUCUUUUACGUUAGUGCCAAAAAGUUUUAAAGAACUUACCAGCCAUGGAAGAGAGAUAUAAGCGUAUCAUCUAUAUGGUCAUCAUAGCUAUAGUGCUGUUCAUAGUGCUCAACUUCGUUUUGGGUUUGCUGUUUUCCUUCUCUGGCGUCAUCAUAAUCGCAGUAAUUGUCGUCAUUCUCUUCUUGUUUGGAGCUUCGUGGUGGAUGAAAGCAAAAGGAAUGCUGCAAAGUGAAGGAAUUGGAGGGGUGUAACCCAUUGUGUUGCUGCCAUCCAGUUGAAAUAAUUAUGACACAUCACCGUAUUCACUAACAUAAUUCACUAACAUCAUAUGGGUAAAUCCGUUUUAUUACAAGAAUCCUUCUUAUCCAAAACCAUUUUGAACACAUUAUGUACGUAUAGCCUAAUAAUGCUUUCCAUCACAUUCUUAUUCUAGAAAUGUGUAUAUUACAAAGUUUUAAUAAUUUAUUCUAUAUAGUUUGUUGGCUUAAUAACUUAAUUGAAUUGUAGAAAAAAAAUCUAUAGGUUAUAAUUAUGGUGUUUUUCAUGAAAAAAAUAAUUAUUGAAAUUUCAUGAUUGAUAAUGAUGAUCGAUCUGGAAAAGGAGUAGAACACUUUCUUGUGAUUAAACUGAUAACAUCCAUUAAUAUUUCAUGCUCUAAUUAUGCAUUUAAGAAUUAUCUGCUUAGAUAUUUUUAAUAUAGAGUUCAUAUAUCAGCAGCUAUUUUAAUAAUGAUAUAAAAGCGUAAAAGAUAAAUAUUUUUAUACUGAUACUCGUUCCGUUGAGUCAUCGUGAAGUCCCAAGUAUUAUUUGAAUAGUAGUGAAGUGAUAUAGUAUAGUAUACUAUUGAUCUAUAGUAUUAUUUGAUUGUGUAGAUCGAAUUGAGAGAAUCAUAAUGACUCAAUGUUUUGUUGCCAUCCAAUUAGCUUUAGUUGAAAUCUGUCUCAUAGUUGUCCACUAAAAUAUUGUUACUUGUUUUUGAGCAUCCAGGGACCAAAGUUCACCUUUUUCCUGUGAGGAAAACGUUUACACAAAAUGGAGUAGUUAUGGAAUAUUCGCCUUUGUUGCAAAAACACUUUUCCUCCAUCUAAAAUUGAUCUAUUGUUCCACCUAUCCUUCAUUAUGAUCAUUUGCACCAACAAAUCUAUCAAUAUGCUCCAAUAACUGACGCUAAACGGAUCGUGCUUUCAGUCUCAUUGAAAAAACCUUGUUUCUUUCAAAUUCUGUUGCAGAAAGUGAAAUACUACCUACUAUUAGAUACCUGUGGAAGAUGGAAAAAAUGUAUAAUGUCAUACCGUACUGUAUUAGUUUUUGUUCAAAGUGAGGAAGCUAUUGAAAUCUUUUAUUCUGGUGUUAUAACUUGAUAGGCCAUAGCAAUAUUGCGGAAAUACUGUAGAUACCUAUCAAAACAUCUUUAUAACAAAAUUAUUGCUAAACUUCAGUUAAAAAAAUAAUAAUUGUGUAACAUUGAUUCAAUAAUUGAAUAAUAAGUAAUAAAUAUACUCAUAGAUAAUUGAUAAAUUAUUAGUCUAGUGAAGUCCUCUGCUGAGGAAUCUGAAAUCAAUUUUAAAACUAAAAGUACCUUACUGCCCAGUGAAGUUAUUACUCUCAUUAUUUUUAAGGCAAUCCGAAUUAUAAGACUAUAAUCUAUUUUAAGAUGAAAAUAAUAUAAAAAAAGAUAUUGAUACUAGGGAACUCUGGAUAAGACUGGAAAAUGCCAAAUAAACAGCAUGAACUUGUUAAACUGUGCAUAUUGAAUUUUAACUACGUUAUAACAGCAUAUUGUUUUUAUUUUUAAUCAAAGAAAUUAAAAUAAAAUUUAAUAUUUCUAGAGCGUUUCAAAGUUAUAUUCGUUUCCUUUUUCCUCUGUUAUCAUUCUGAUUAUACUAAAUUUAGAUUUAGGUAUGAAAAAUGACGGAUUCGUUUGAAUUUGGCAGAUAAGACAAUGUGGCCAGUUGGAUAUUCCAAUUGCAGCAGGCUAAUCAUUGAAUUAUUCAACAAACUUGGUUGAAAAUUAUUCUUUAACUAUAGACGUGUUGAAAUUAUGAACCGUUAUUAUCAAUACCGUACUGUAAAUAUAACAUGAUUACUUAUUUACAAUUAAAUGUUUCACGUGUUAGUCCAUAGUGCACCCAAAAAUUGAAAACCCGGUAUUCUAUUAAUGGAAGCAUACUGAUCAUCCAAUUUGAUUUUUUUGUUUUUAUGUUUUGACACCGCCAAUUACUCAUUUCUGAUGUUUGGGAGCUUCUGCGCAUUCUACGGUAUCUUCAAUUAUCUACUGAAGGAUGCAAGGGAUCUUGAUAACAAAAUGUUAAUUUUAUAUUUUUUGGUUGUGUUGACAAAA